CUAUCAGCCUUUAGACGGUAGGGUAUUGGCCUACCAUGGCAAUGACGGGUAACGGGGAAUUAGGGUUCGAUUCCGGAGAGGGAGCCUGAGAAACGGCUACCACAUCUAAGGAAGGCAGCAGGCGCGCAAAUUACCCAAUCCUAAUACAGGGAGGUAGUGACAAGAAAUAACAAUACAGGACUUUUUGGUUUUGUAAUUGGAAUGAGUUAAGUAUAAACCCCUUUACAAGUAUCAAUUGGAGGGCAAGUCUGGUGCCAGCAGCCGCGGUAAUUCCAGCUCCAAUAGCGUAUAUUAAAGUUGUUGCAGUUAAAAAGCUCGUAGUUGGAUUUCUGUUAAUAAUUUAUAUAAAAUAUUUUGAAUAUUUAUAUAACAUUAACAUAAUUCAUAUUACUAUAUUUUUUAGUAUAUGAAAUUUUACUUUGAGAAAAUUAGAGUGCUUAAAGCAGGCAUAUGCCUUGAAUACUCCAGCAUGGAAUAAUAUUAAAGAUUUUUAUCUUUCUUAUUGGUUCUAAGAUAAGAAUAAUGAUUAAUAGGGACAGUUGGGGGCAUUUGUAUUUAACAGUC
rnacentral:rRNA from 1 species